UCCUUCAUAGUGUAACUAGAAGCACACUCGGCUAGUAUUCGAGAGGUCCAGGUUCGAGUCCUCGUGAGAGCA
rnacentral:tRNA from 1 species